CGCGUGGGAAUCUACCCAGUAGUGGGGGACAACAGUUGGAAACGACUGCUAAUACCGCAUACGCCCUAAGGGGGAAAGCAGGGGACUCUUCGGAGCCUUGUGCUAUUGGAUGAGCCCGCGUGAGAUUAGAUAGUUGGUGAGGUAAUGGCUCACCAAGUCUACGAUCUCUAGCUGGUCUGAGAGGAUGAUCAGCCACACUGGAACUGAGACACGGCCCAGACUCCUACGGGAGGCAGCAGUGGGGAAUCUUAGACAAUGGGGGCAACCCUGAUCUAGCCAUGCCGCGUGUGUGAUGAAGGC
rnacentral:rRNA from 1 species